UACGAUUUUUUUUUUAUUUUUGAAUGUCUUCGUUUUUCUAACAGUAAAAUGUAGAUAUGUGGGUCAAAUAAUAAUGAAAUCAAAUCGGUAUUUAUUUAUUGUCGAUAAACAUAAUAACAUCAGCUAUGUAUAGCGUUUGAUCGACAUAUUAUGACUUUGUUUGGACUUUUAAAUGUCUUCGUUUCAUAACGCGGUUAAGCCUUAGAGGGAUGACAAGAUAAUAAAAUACGCCGUCCUGAUAAGCCAAUGAGUAAGGCUAUUUGUUGGACCAAGGUGUGUAAAGUUGUUGCUCAAAAACGUUGGAGUUUUUCCAAUUGCGUAACUGUGAUUUACAAUUUUUUGCGAGAGAAAUUUAAAAAGAGCAAAACUGAAAGCUUACUUUACCAAAUGGCAUACACGUUGGCACAUAGUUCAUGGUAGUUUGCACUUGAAAGAAUCUCCCAUGAUUAUUUGAAAUGGACUAGAACUUCGUUCCGACUCGUGACUAGAAUGGCAACUUCGGAAACAGAGUACUAUAAUAGAUUAGAUCUAAUUGUGGUGCGUAUUGGGACUGUAACUGCCCGAAGACUAUUCGAAAAACGUGUUGUCGAUUUAAAACCAGAAAAUGAGGAUAGAAACACAUGGACUGUGGACAAGUUUAUGGAUUUGAAACGAAAGGAAAUAAUGCAUAUGCGCCCAAAAAAUACGAUAAAAUUUCAUCUCUAUCCCAAUCUACCGAACGAGAGAGACUAUACAAAGUGGGACAUUAGUACAUUGGUAUUUGUACUGACUCGCGUUUGUGAACUUGACGACACGUCACGUACUGCACUGGAUACAUUUAAGGAUAUUCGAAACUAUUUGGACCAUCUGGAAAACCCAGCUGUGAAGCUUGUUACAUAUCAGAAAAAACUUGCUGAUUUGAAACAGAACCAUGAUUUAUGUUUAAGGGAUAUAAAUGACAGAACGUUCGAAGCUGAACAAAAGAAGUUAUUUCAUGGGUUUGAACAUGAGCCUUUAUCUGUUAGCGAUGUGACGAAGUUUUAUCACAAAAAGACGAAAGAACAAAAGGAAAUGAAAGCAAUUUUGACAAAUAAUCAAAAAGAUACUAAAGCGAUUUUAAGAAAACUGGAAAAGUUGGAGGAAAGAAUGGGUGUGCAGGAUUUUCCGCCUGCUACUGAGCGCAGAGAUCUAGACAUAGACGACGACAUUGUGCAGCAGUUUGAUGUCGAAUUAAAGCUUCUAUUUUCUGAAUGCGACACUGAAAAGACGAAACAACUGUUACUGGAUGCAUUCAAAAGGCAAAUUGCUGAAAUGUAUGAGGCACAACCUCCGCAUUUAUCUAAAUUACAAGAAGCAGUAGGUGGAGCAUAUGGUGAUUUGUUAAGUAACGGUUACAGGAUUGUCAAUGCAGAUGAAGGCUGUGUAGGUCUACAGAUCCGUUUAACUCUCCCAGACAAUUACUAAAUUUCUUUCGGGAUUAUUUUGAAGGGAAACUGCAGGGUCAGUUUGAACCUGUAAAAAAUGCUUUGCAGACUAUUCCCGGACUUGAGAACAUGACACUUGAUGUUGUGAUAUAUGAAGAUGAAUUCAACAGGGUUAUGGAUAACACGGUAACGUUCUUAUCUUCAUGUCUGCCUGGAGCGGAAGAGUCUAACGUGAAUGACAAUAAUUCUGUUGUGACAGAAUAUGACCGCCAAGGUCCAUCAGUAGAAUAUGAAACAGAAAGCAUCCCUGUUCCAGACCUGCCAUUGCAUCUACAAUCUGGUGAAGAUGAAGCUGAAACAGAAGGCAGAACCUUUCGUUUUGACACAGGACGUAUGCCUUUUCAUGAAAGCAAGCAGUAAACAUCGCUUUUGCUGAUUUGAGCUCAACGGUUUUAUGACAUUUUCUUCCAAAUAAAAUUCCAAAUAACUUUGCUUCGUCAACAGCAUGUAUAUUUGUACGUCUACAAAAAGCUCAGGGUUGCAGUGUUUUCCGUAAUUGUCACACUUAGUUUUGAUUUAGAAAAUUUAACACCAUUUUAUGUUGUCCAAAUUCAAACGUUUUCCAAACAUUACUGUAAAUGACGUUUAAUUGUACACUUUUGUUCAAACAUUAACGUAUUAAAAACGUAAUUGACGUAUAAUGAACAAUAUAUCCCUGGUGACUAACAUUUCACAAUAUUAUUAAUCUUGAUGUUGGAACGGGUAGCAGAUAAAACGACCCUGUUAUUGCUCAAAAGAAAGGAAAGAACCAACAAUACUUUGAAAUUUCGAUCAGAUAAGAAUUGCCAUAAAAAUAUUGGAAGACCUUUUAAACUUACAUAUAAGUCGUCAGGGUCAUUCAUAAUACCGUGUUUUCAAGUUGUAUCUUAAGUUUUUUUUUUAAAUCGAAAAAGACAGAAACGAGAUGUUCUUUUUAACAAAUGCAUCACGAACAAAAUUUUCUAGUCGAACAAAAUGAUCAGAUGUGCUAUGCUGUUUGCGAAAACCGCUUUGAAAUUUUGUAAAUUCUAAAAACCAAAUAUAUCUAGCAUUAAUCAAACGUUAUAGUGUUUUAUAUAAACAACUAGUCAGGGCAACCAGUCUAUAGUCACUAGGGUUUGUAUUAUAUAAGCUGGGUUUUUGUAUGGGGGAAACUAAAGUUUCUCUCCAGGAUUCUGUAAAAGUUUUCAAUGUAAUAUUGUAAAUUUCUACGAGAAGGUCCAUCGAGUGGUACAACUUAUAUCUGUAUGUUUGACGUUAUUUGAGUAACACUUAUAUUUAAAGUAAAUGUUAACCUGCUUUUUGGACAAUAGGAAAAUAGAAAGCAAUGUUUUAUCAAAUGUAAAAUAAGAAAAAUAGACAAAAUUAGGUAAGAUAACAUCACAUGACUUUGCCCUUCGAUUUCUUCGUGCAAAUUCAAUUAAACAUUCCACCAUCUUAUUCUCUGCGCCCACAGGCGCGGAGUAUUUGUGAUGGCUUUUUGUGAGUGCAAUGUAUGUCGUAAAUGACGAUUUGGUCCUUUCGAUUUGCAAAAUGUCCAAAUUUUAUUUUAAAUGUCUGGCCUGGCCCAUUAUAAUGGCAUCAGAUAUAAAAACACAAACGAGAAAAAUAAGCUUUUUAAGAAGAAAAGAAGACAGAAAUAAAAAAGCAGAAAAGAAAGCAAUUUUUGUUGUACAGCACGGGAAAAGUUCCUUUCCUUCUCAGUUUGAUGAUUGUGCCAGAAAGAAAUAGUUUUGAUGAGCGUGCUUUUUCCAUAAACUUUAAAACAUGUGAAUGUGCAUUUUUCAAGCACAUAUUGAUGGCUUACCAAUAUUAUUUUAAAUGUAAGCAUAUCCAUAUAUUUUGAUCAGUGUGUUGCAAUAAUAACCGUUUGCGUAAUAGGUAGUAGCUGCACAAAUGUUACGCGCAAAUAACCAAUCUGCGCUAAUUGUAAAUCGUACAGCGCCAAUAACCAAAUUGCGAUUAAACGCGCGUUUUGUAAAUCGUACAGCGCCAAUAACCAAAUUGCGAUUAAACGCGCGUUUUGUUCUCGUUUGUGUUUUUAAGGGCCUUUCAUAUAAAAUUGUUUAAUGAUAAAAAUGACAACAACCUGACGUGCUUGAAGGUGUGAAUUGUCCGAGCCGUUCUGUUUUAAGUGUUCAUUACAUUAAACAAUAAAAAAGGUGAUCCAUAUAUUUAUGCAGUUAUUUGAAGAAGAUAUUUACGUCCUUGAUAAUUUACAUACUAUUUCUUUAAAAGUCGUUUUAGAGUUACUUAUAGUCAUCCCAGGUGUAUUAUAUAAGCUUUUAAUAUUCUUAACUAUUUAAUGCUUUUAAAGUUUAACAUUUAAAAACUGAAAUAGUAACCAUGUCAAUUCGUAUAGUUGUACGACGGUUUGUGUUUAUUAUUUUGAAAUAACAAGUUGCAGAGGCUAUGAUAACUUAUAAUUUUAGAUCAAUUAUUUCAUGUAAAGAAUUACCACGUCCAUACUAAUUUUCUUCAGUUUAGAUAUUAAUUCAAAUUUUGCUACUAAUUUAAACGAAAAACGAAAUU